UACGUAGGGACCGAGCGUUGUCCGGAAUCAUUGGGCGUAAAGGGCGCGUAGGCGGGCUAUCAAGUCCGGGGUGAAAUCCUCCAGCUUAACUGGAGAACUGCCUCGGAUACUGAUGGUCUCGAGGAGGAUAGGGGCACACGGAACUGUGGGUGGAGCGGUGAAAUGCGUUGAUAUCCAUAGGAACUCCGGUGGCGAAAGCGGUGUGCUGGAUCCUUUCUGACGCUGAGGCGCGAAAGCCAGGGGAGCAAACGGG
rnacentral:rRNA from 1 species